rnacentral:misc_RNA from 1 species
AAGUCGUAACAAGGUUUCCGUAGGUGAACCUGCGGAAGGAUCAUUAACACGUAUCCAAACGUUAAAACCCCCCCGUGAACCUUCAUCCUGCUCUUGUAACCCGCGUAGUUCGCAAUCUCUGAUAAGUCGGAAAGUGUCAUUGAUUGUGCAACGAUAGCGCUUCUACGAUUCCUGUAGACCGUACACUCGGGCAGGAGCUUUGCCAAAGGGUCCCCAUGCCCCCUAAUACCCCACAGUUUAAUGUGAAGCUCAAUGUAUUACAUUGGGUAAAAAAACCGAACAACUGUUAACAAUGGAUAUCUUGGUUCUC